UGCGUUUUGCUCUCUGCCUCCCAGAGUAGCAGCUUUGCUUUCGGGACCAGGGGCAACCGUCACGAAUCCUUUUUGGCGCGCACUCGCGAUCAGGCUGCCGAACAGGCGCUGGUGCCUGGGGCAAAAAGAAGAAAGUAAGGGAGCACGAGCAGGUUGCCACACGUUAAUCAAAAGGUAGCAAGAGCCGCGGAGAGAAGGAAUGUACACCUGGAAAGUGCCAGAAGCUACGCGGCCGCUGAGGCUCCCUAGUUUUCAGCAAUUGCUCUCUCAACACCCACCGACUGUAUCAGUCUCCAGCCUCUCCAAUUCUCUAACCACGCGUCAGGUGUAGUGCCGAAACGAAGUGCGCCUGUGCGGUGGUGGCCGCGCAGUAGCAGCAGGAGUAAUACUACAUUAUUAUCGGUUACGGUGCUUUAAGCGCGGUCCCAGGCGGCUGGGAAGAAAAGUAAGCAGCAGUAUCUAGGGUGCCGGAGGAGGAAAAUGGCGGAGCCGGGGACACCCCGAACGUCUCCCUUGUAUUCGCGGGCUUCAGCUGUGGAUGGAUUUCUGAAGACUGAUGAAAGACAAAGAUUAGCCAGAGAAAGAAGAGAAGAAAGAGAAAAAUAUUUUGCUGUCAGAGAGCAGCAAAUCUUAGAAAAAGAAAGAAGAGCAAAGCUUCAGUAUGAGAAACAAAUAGAAGAAAGAUGGAAGAAGUUGGAGGAGCAGAGACUGAGGGAGGAGCAAAAGAGGGCAGCUGUGGAAGAAAAGAGAAGACAGAAGCUUAGAGAAGAAGAGGAACGAUUAGAGGCUAUGAUGCGGCGUUCCGUGGAACGAAGUCAGCAGCUAGAGCAGAAACAGAAGAGGUGGUCGUGGGGAGGAGGACUGGCUGCAGGCUCAGAUGACAGAGAUGGUGAAUCAGAAAAUGCCCAAUCCUCUCUAGGUUUAGCUGUCAACACUCUUCUUCCAGACCCUGUGGUUUCCACUGCUGCUGUUGCUGCUGAACCCUACAAUGCAUGUGACAAACUUUCAGUUUCUACAAUGAAUCUGCCAAAGCAAAUGGAGUCGCCUAUCAAUAAACGUCUUUCCUCCUCCACAGCAACAAUAACUUAUUCCCAUGAUAAAGCUCAUCGCAUGCAUCUUAGUCCAAUGGAAAAAUUUAUCAUUUCUCGACUAUUGACUCCCACACAUGCUUCUUUAGCCAGAAGUAGAAGUACUUUAAUGCUUUCUGAGAGGUAUACUGAUUCAGUAUUCCAUAUCUGUCCUCGUGUAGCACCAGCCAGCCCUCUUAAAACUUCUUACAAGCCUUCCCACACUCGAGGUGUGGAGAAAAAGAAAGCAGCAUCUGCUUCCAUAUCAGAUUCAAUGAAGGGAGCAAGUACAAGUGAAGUCUCACAGAAUGAGAAGAAAAAGAAACAAUCAACAACACCUGGCACAUUAUCUGGUUUUGGAUCUCCUCUUAAAAAAUCUGAAUGUCCAGCAGUUGUAUCUAAACAAUCAGCUUCACCUGCCACUCCAAAAUCAGUCUCAAAGACUUAUCCACAGUCUCCCAAAAUUAAUAAAACAUAUCCAGCUUCUCCUGUGAAAAAUCGUACAACUUCAAACUUGAACCAAGGAACUCCUAAAAAAAGGACAGCAAAAGUUAAAGAGAGUCAGCGGGAAAGUAUUAGUCAAAGAAUUCAAGCAUCACCAGCUGAAGCUGUAAAUCAGUCUAGUGCUGAAAAAUCUUCUAUAGGAAAAAUUGAAAACACUGAAGGGAAACAUGUAGCAGGGACUACUGAUGUGGAAGAAGCAACUAGAAUUCUAGCAGAGAAAAGACGUCAGGCUCGACUUCAGAAAGAACAAGAAGAAAAGGAAAGGCAAGAAAGAGAAAAAUUUGAAAGGCUAGAAAAAGAAGAGCUGAAAAGAAAAGCAGAGGAAGAGAGGACUCUACUGGAAGAAAAGGCUCGUAAAAGAGAAGAGGAAAGGAAAUUGGAAGAAGAAUUAGCAAAAAAAAGAGCAGAAGAUGAAACAAGAAAAAGAGCUGAAGAAGAACGCAAACUGAGAGAAAAGCAAGAAAAAGAAUUGCAAGCUAUGCUUGAGAUACAGAAAGAAGCAGCAGAAGCUAAAGCACGAGAGGCAGCUGAACAUUUACGUUUAGAAAAGGAACAAAUUAUGCAGCAGAUAGAGCAAGAAAGACAAGAACGAAAGAAGCGAAUAGAUGAAAUAAUGAAAAGGACAAGAAAAAAUGAAAUAACAGAAAUCAAGAAAGAAGAUACAAAAUCAGAUGAGCCAAGAAUCUUGAAUGUGGAUCAAUAUCCCAACUCACUUACCCUUAGUCAAGCAGAAAUUAAUGGAAUAACAAAUUGCAAAAAUACUAAAGGUGUUGAAUGUGCUGUGUCUGAAUCUUUUCCUCGUGAAGUAUUUUCUAAUGGUCUUAAGCCACUUAUGGGCCUUAUUCAACUAGAUGCAAUGGAUGUAAAAUCUCACAGCCUGGAUGAGUCAACAGAUGAAGUUCAGUCUAUGGAUGUGAGUCCUGCUUCAAAAGAAGAACUUAUAUCUAUCCCUGAAUUUUCACCACUGAAUGAAAUGAUGCCAGGAAUUACUUUGGACCAAAAUGGAUCAAAUAAUAGGAAGGCUCUUGAAGAACUCCUAGAUUUUACUGGCCAGGCCACUUACCCAAAAUUAACAAGUGAAAGUAUUAGCAUAGAUGAUUGUAAUAAAAAUUUGAUUGAUGGAUUUAAUAGCCCAAGCCAGGAGACAACACUAAGUACCUUAUGUUGAUAAAUACAUCGCUACAUAGCAAUAAGGAAUCCAUACAAUCAGAAGGUGCACAACAGCACACACUUUGAAAUGAGGCAGCAAGAACUCGGAAGCCAAUUGUGUCCGGCAGCAACCACAGCCCGCCAGCCCCUUGGCCAGUGCACUGUGGGGCUGCAACGCCCAUGCAACGCAGGUGAUUGGGACCACUGCUACUGCCAAGCCGGCCCUUUCUGUCCCACCAUGGCUGCAACAGGGCAGGCAACUGCGCAGCACAUCCAGUGGACUGGUACCACAGCCACGAGUUGAGGUGAGGCAGGUGGUAGGGCAGGGUUGGCCUAGCUGUGGGUGUGGGGCUCUUGGAGCAGUUCCACCCUGCCACCUGCCUCGUCUCACCUUGUGAUGGUGGCAUUGGUCUGCUGGACGCGACACACAGCCACUGGGCCACGAGAUGCACUGUGCGGCCGCCUGCCCCAUUGCGGCCAUGGGCAAGCAAACGGUGGGACUGGGAGAGUGAGUAGCUGCACGGGCUUCAGCUGGACGGGGUUGGUGAUUCUGGUGCCACUGCAGCGAGGUGAGGCAGGUAGCUGAGCUGGGGUAGCCUGGCUGUGGUGCCCUGAGGUGCGGGUGCGGGACACACGGGGCAGCUCCACCUUCUUGCUACCUGCCUCGCCUUACCUUGUGACGGCAUCGGCCUGCCAGAAAUGCCAUGUGGUUGCCUGUCUCACUGCAACCGCGGGCAAGCAAACGGUGGAAUGGAAAGGGCCGGGCCGGCAGUAGCAGCGCUCCCACUCAUCUGCAUUGCAUGGGUUUCACAGGCCCAGAGUGUGCCUUGGCCAGUGGGCUGUGGCUAUUCGACAGUUGGUUCCCAUGCGCUCGCGCCUCCUGUGCGCACAUCAAUAGUGUCUUGAAUUCAUUGGUUUACAUAUGGUACCUUUACCUCUUGUCCAAAGGCGCCUGCUUGGGUACAGUAUGUACAAAUACUUAUUUAUAUUUUAUAUUAUCAUUUAUUUUAAGUAUUAAUGUUAAUAAUAUUAUUUCUUUAUAUUUAAUUAUAUAUUAAUAUUAUUGUUUUAUAAUUCAAUACAUCCGUUGUUUAUUGCAAUGGACCUCUGGCUGAUGAUCCUAACGAGCUUAUUUUUGGGGUAGGGCUUAUAUUACGAGUGUCCUGAAAAAUCAUGCUAGGGCUUAUUUUCCUGUUGGCUCUUAUUUUCAGAGAAACACAGUAUUUAGCACUUGGGUUUUCUAGGGAUAUCUGCCUACCCUUCCAUCAAUUUACUUAAUGUAAAAACAAUAAUAUAUUGUAUAAUAAAAUCUGAAAAUGAAUCCAAAUGUAUAUUACAAAGAAUCUUGUGCCCUUUAUACUACUGUAUAAAGGUUAACAAACUUAUAUUAGCAAAAACAUUUAUGGAUUUCCAAAUUAGCUACAUGAAAUAUUAUUACCUGCCAUCAUAAUGGAUGAGAGUAAUUGAAAUAGUUAAUAGAUGUAGUAAUCUGUAACUUAAUUAUAUAACAUGAUAAGAUCUGUAUGCUACUUGAAGUUCAUCUGCAUGAAUGAUGGCUCAGCUACUCAAGGAUAAUAUCCAUAUUUGUGAUUUCUUUGCUCAAGGUUCUGUACUUUUGAGUAUACUCAUUGUAUUUCUCUUUCU